UGGGGAAUAUUGCACAAUGGAGGGAACUCUGAUGCAGCGACGCCGCGUGAACGAAGAAGGCUUUCGAGUCGUAAAGUUCUUUUAUAUGGGAAGAUAAUGACGGUACCAUAAGAAAAAGCCCCGGCUAACUACGUGCCAGCAGCCGCGGUAAUACGUAGGGGGCUAGCGUUGUCCGGAAUCACUGGGCGUAAAGGGUUCGCAGGCGGAAAUGCAAGUCAGGUGUAAAAGGCAGUAGCUUAACUACUGUAAGCAUUUGAAACUGCAUAUCUUGAGAAGAGUAGAGGUAAGUGGAAUUUUUAGUGUAGCGGUGAAAUGCGUAGAUAUUAAAAAGAAUACCGGUGGCGAGGGCGACUUGCUGGGCUCAUUCUGACGCUGAGGAACGAAAGCGUGGGCAGCAAGCAGG
rnacentral:rRNA from 1 species